GGGAGGUCGGCGGCGGACGUGAGCCUCGCCAACCCGGUCAGGGCCGGAAGGCAGCAGCCGCAACGAGUUUCCUCAUGGGUCGUUGUCCGGCCUCCCACC
rnacentral:SRP_RNA from 1 species